AAUCAACGCUGGCGGCGCGCUUAACACAUGCAAGUCGCACGAGAAAGGGGGCAACCCUGAGUACAGUGGCGUACGGGUGAGUAACACGUGGAUCAUCUACCUUUUAGUGGGGAAUACCCCUGGGAAACCGGGGACAAUACCGCAUAAGCCCGCAAGGGGAAAGCAGCAAUGCGCUGAAAGAGGAGUCCGCGGCUGAUUAGCUAGUUGGCGGGGUAAUGGCCCACCAAGGCGAAGAUCGGUAGCCGGCCUGAGUGGGCCCACGGCCACACUGGCACUGAAAUACGGGCCAGACUCCUACGGGAGGCGGCAGUGGGGAAUCUUGCACAAUGGAGGCAACUCUGAUGCAGCGACGCCGCGUGAGCGAUGAAGCCCUUCGGGGUGUAAAGCUCUUUCGACGGGAACGAUAAUGACGGUACCCGGAGAAGAAGCUGCGGCUAACUACGUGCCAGCCGCCGCCGUAAAAC
rnacentral:rRNA from 1 species